rnacentral:rRNA from 1 species
UGGGGAAUUUUGGACAAUGGGCGCAAGCCUGAUCCAGCAAUGCCGCGUGCAGGAAGAAGGCCUUCGGGUUGUAAACUGCUUUUGUACGGAGCGAAAAGGCUCUCUCUAAUACAGGGGGCUCAUGACGGUACCGUAAGAAUAAGCACCGGCUAACUACGUGCCAGCAGCCGCGGUAAUACGUAGGGUGCAAGCGUUAAUCGGAAUUACUGGGCGUAAAGCGUGCGCAGGCGGUUUUGUAAGACAGGCGUGAAAUCCCCGGGCUCAACCUGGGAAUGGCGCUUGUGACUGCAAGGCUGGAGUGCGGCAGAGGGGGAUGGAAUUCCGCGUGUAGCAGUGAAAUGCGUAGAUAUGCGGAGGAACACCGAUGGCGAAGGCAAUCCCCUGGGCCUGCACUGACGCUCAUGCACGAAAGCGUGGGGAGCAAACA